AUUGAACGCUGGCGGCAUGCCUUACACAUGCAAGUCGAACGGUAGAGUAGCAAUACUCGAGAGUGGCGAACGGGUGAGUAAUAUAUCGGAACGUGCCCAGUCGUGGGGGAUAACGUAGAGAAAUUUACGCUAAUACCGCAUACGAUCUAAGGAUGAAAGCGGGGGAUCGCAAGACCUCGCGCGAUUGGAGCGGCUGAUAUCAGAUUAGGUUGUUGGUGAGGUAAAAGCUCACCAAGCCGACGAUCUGUAGCUGGUUUGAGAGAACGACCAGCCACACUGGGACUGAGACACGGCCCAGACUCCUACGGGAGGCAGCAGUGGGGAAUUUUGGACAAUGGGCGAAAGCCUGAUCCAGCAAUGCCGCGUGUGGGAAGAAGGCCUUCGGGUUGUAAACCACUUUUGUACGGAACGAAACGGUUCGCUUUAAUACAGUGGGCUAAUGACGGUACCGUAAGAAUAAGCACCGGCUAACUACGUGCCAGCAGCCGCGGUAAUACGUAGGGUGCGAGCGUUAAUCGGAAUUACUGGGCGUAAAGCGUGCGCAGGCGGUUAUAUAAGACAGUUGUGAAAUCCCCGGGCUCAACCUGGGAAUUGCAUCUGUGACUGUAUAGCUAGAGUACGGUAGAGGGGGAUGGAAUUCCGCGUGUAGCAGUGAAAUGCGUAGAUAUGCGGAGGAACACCGAUGGCGAAGGCA
rnacentral:rRNA from 1 species